rnacentral:rRNA from 1 species
ACGGAAGGCAGCAGUGGGGAAUAUUGGGCAGUGGGCGAAAGCCUGACCCAGCAACGCCGCGUGAAGGAAGAAGGUCUUCGGAUUGUAAACUUCUUUUAUGUGGGACGAACAAAUGACGGUACCACAUGAAUAAGCCACGGCUAACUACGUGCCAGCAGCCGCGGUAAUACGUAGGUGGCAAGCGUUAUCCGGAUUUACUGGGUGUAAAGGGCGCGUAGGCGGGGAAGCAAGUCAGAUGUGAAAUCCAUGGGCUCAACCCAUGAACUGCAUUUGAAACUGUUUCUCUUGAGUGCUGGAGAGGUAAGCGGAAUUCCUAGUGUAGCGGUGAAAUGCGUAGAUAUUAGGAGGAACACCAGUGGCGAAGGCGGCUUACUGGACAGCAACUGACGUUGAGGCUCGAAAGCGUGGGGAGCAAACAGGAUUAGAUACCCUGGUA